GACAGGAUGCCAUGAGGAAAUGACUGGUGGGAACUUAAGGAGCUGCUGAAGUUUCCCACCAGAGAGGUGGUCUGGCAUUUCUCCCUCAAAACAAAUGGGCUGCUGCUUCCUCUUGCCUCUUCCCUUCUGGAAAGAAAAGAAAAGGAGCUGUGGCAGAGACACGAGAUGUAAAUGAGACACACGCGAGACAUGUGGAGACAGGGGUGAAGACUAGAAUCCACACUGAGGGGAUGGGAUUAUCAAGCAGCAAAUCUUAGGCAGAAUAACAAGACAGCUCAAGAAAUGGUGCUGGCUGUUGGCUGUUGUUCUGUCUAGGAGAGAGUUACGUUUUGUUUUGUCAGGUAUGUGCAUUUAUGGAGACCUUUACCCUGCUGAUUGUUGUCCUCUGUUUAAUGAGAGGCUUAGCAGGUAUUAUUUAUGGAAAUUGUGACUGGUGAAUGUUGAGCUCUGUAUAUUUAGAGGCAUAGCAGGUUACAUUCUGGAGACUGCUGAUUUUUGUCCUCUGCUGAUUUAGAGGGUUAGCAGGUCUCCUGGGUAUUUUGAAGAGAUAUUAAAACGUAUAUUUUUGAACCCUCACUCUGUCUCUGAGCUUUUUGGGCCAAACCCACAUUUUGACGGCAACUCGAGGCUCGGUCCGUCACACGUUAUGCUAAUGAUAUGUAAAUCCCCACCCAGCAAGUUGACGGGAUUGGUUCCUUAGGUAUGUGACGUAUGAAACCCAGACAGUCUGAUUCUGUGUUUUUGAGACUGUCAUUGGUGCACUGCAGAUCCAAGGAGAAAAUGCUCAGUCAUGCCGUUGACUGCUUAUUGGCUUCUGACCUCUUCCAAAUCGCAUGUAGUCGGGGGCACAUUUGAGAUGUCUGUGAGUCGUUAGUCGAUUUUUCCCUCUAAACGUCUCACAAAGUUUAUUUUAAUUUACUUUAACUACAUUUUGUUGCUAAGACUUAUGAAGUUUAACUUAAGUAGGAUUUUAAAUG